UACGUAGGGUGCAAGCGUUAAUCGGAAUUACUGGGCGUAAAGCGUGCGCAGGCGGUUUUGUAAGUCUGACGUGAAAUCCCCGGGCUUAACCCUGGGAAUUGCGUUGGAGACUGCAAGGCUGGAAUCUGGCAGAGGGGGGUAGAAUUCCACGUGUAGCAGUGAAAUGCGUAGAGAUGUGGAGGAACACCGAUGGCGAAGGCAGCCCCCUGGGUCAAGACUGACGCUCAUGCACGAAAGCGUGGGGAGCAAACAGG
rnacentral:rRNA from 1 species